GACGAACGCUGGCGGCGUGCUUAACACAUGCAAGUCGUACGGUAAGGCCCUUUCGGGUGUACACGAGUGGCGAACGGUUGAGUAACACGUGAGUAACCUUCCCACUACUUUUGUAUAACGCUAGGAAACUGGUGCUAAUACUGGAUAUGUGCUCCUGCUGCAUCGUGGGGGUUGGAAAGCUCCGGCGGUGGUGAAUGAUCUGGCGGGCUAUCAGCUUGUUGGGGGGGUAGUGGGCUACCAAGGCGGCGACGGGACGCCGGCCAGAGGGGGUGACCGGCGAUAUUGAGACUGAGGGAAGGCACAGACUGGGAAGGGAGGCAGAAGGGGGGAAGAUUGAACAAGGGGCGCAAGGCGGAUGCAGCAGGGCCGCGUGCGGGAUGACGGCCUUCGGGUGGUAAAACGCUAUCAGCAGGGACGAAGGUUGUUGUGACGGUACCUGAAGAAGAAGCACCGGCUAACUACGUG
rnacentral:rRNA from 1 species